GUGCGUAACAGCUCACCCGCCGAGAUUUAGGGCUGCGAAAAUGGACGGGGCUAAAUCAGCUGCCGAGACUCUAGCGUUGUACAAAACAACGGGUAGGGAGGCAUCCCGCGUGGGCGGAAGCAACUUCGUGAGCAGUUGUGGACCGCGUGGGAAAGAUAAUCCUGUCAGUAGUAGUAGCAUAGUGUGGUGUGAAUCCACACCGUCUCAAGGGCAAGGGUUCCUCGAAGAUGUUUAUCAGGCGAGGGUUAGUCGAUCCUAACCGCUAUCCUAACAGGAAUAGUGGGAAAGGGAAGCAGGUUAAUAUUCCUGCACUAUGGAAAUACACGUCGCAAGACAAGACAUUCUUCUGACACUUCGAGAUAGAUUGAGCAGAUUUUUCUGUUUAACCGUUUAAGACCUAGGAAUAUCGUCACGAUUUGAAUAGGUUGAAGGCGGGAAUAGCACAUCCUAUGGUGUGUUCAGUCGAAUCUCGGGGUCCAUGAAAAGGAAGAUGUAUGGAUUUUCCAUAUUCGUACCGAGAACCGACACUGGUGCCCUGGACAAGAAAUCCAAGACGAGUCGGGAUAAUCCAAUUUAGGGAAUUCGGCAAAUUAGCUUCGUACCUUCGGAAGAAGGAGUGCCUGCUUUCUGCAUUCAAUGUGGAAAAGCAGGUCGCAGUGACAUGGGGGAUCGGACUGUUUAAUAAAAACAUAGGGGGCUGCUAGACCGCAAGGUUGUGUAGAGCCCCUGAUUCCUGCCCAGUGCCGGUAUGUGAACUUUCGGUUCAACGGAAGGAAGCACCGGUAAACGGCGGGGGUAACUAUAACCCUCUUAAGGUAGCGUAAUACCUUGCCACUUAAUUGGUGGCUUGCAUGAAUGGAAUAACUAGGUCCCUACUGUCCCAAAUUGGCAUCCGGCGAACUUGCUAUCCUGGUGAAUAGGCCAGGGACUUCCAGCGGGAAGAUAAGACCCCGUGGAGCUUUUCGGUAGUCUAUUGCUGUAUUACGGUCGUGAUUGUAGAGUGUAGGUAGGAGACAUCGAAGCAUCGUCGUCAGGCGAUGUGGAGUCGACAAUUGUAACACUACCCUGUCACAGCUGUGAUACUUACCCGUAAGGGGACACCAGUAGAUGGACCGUUUGGCUGGGGCGGCGCCUAUCUGAAAAGACAUCAGGUGGGCCCAAAGGUUUGCUCAUCCGCGUCAGAACUGCGGAGCAGAGUGCAAGAGCAAAAGCAGGCUUGAUAUCAUCCUCAAAAGCAAGGGAUGGUGAGACGAAAGUCAGGUCUAGCGAACCUCAAACUCCCCUCGAUGGGGGUUUGAGCUGACAAAAAAGCUACCCCGGGGAUAACUGAUUGGUUGCAGGCAAGAGCUCGUAUCGACCCUGCAGCUUGAUACUUCGAUGUCGGCUUGGUCCAUCCUGGGCGUGCAGCAGCGCCCAAGGGUACGGGUGUUCACCGGUUAAAGGGCCUCAUGAGCUGGGUUUAGAACGUCGCGAGACAGUUUGGCAUAUAUCUGCUGGAAGUGUUUGUUGUCUGAGAGGAAGAUUCUCCCAGUACGAGAGGAACAGAGAGUCGUGGCCUCUGGUCGAUCAGUUGUCUAACAAGGCAUUGCUGAGCAGCUACGCCAUAUGGAGAUAAGAGCUGAAUGCAUCUAAGCUCGAAACUUCUCUCGAAAAGAGACAACAUAGACUCCUCAUAAACUAGGGGGUUGAUAGGCUCGGGAUGUACGCAUGGAGCUUCGGCGACAUGUUCAGUCCGCGAGUACUAAUACGUCAUAUAUAACCCAC
rnacentral:rRNA from 1 species